rnacentral:rRNA from 1 species
CCUACGGGGGGCUGCAGUGGGAAAUAUUGGACAAUGGGGGGAACCCUGAUCCAGCCAUGCCGCGUGUGUGAAGAAGGCCCUCGGGUUGUAAAGCACUUUCAGUGAGGAAGAACGCCUGGUGGUUAAUACCCAUCAGGAAAGACAUCACUCACAGAAGAAGCACCGGCUAACUCCGUGCCAGCAGCCGCGGUAAUACGGAGGGUGCGAGCGUUAAUCGGAAUUACUGGGCGUAAAGCGCGCGUAGGUGGCUUGAUAAGCCGGUUGUGAAAGCCCCGGGCUCAACCUGGGAACGGCAUCCGGAACUGUCAAGCUAGAGUGCAGGAGAGGAAGGUAGAAUUCCCGGUGUAGCGGUGAAAUGCGUAGAGAUCGGGAGGAAUACCAGUGGCGAAGGCGGCCUUCUGGACUGACACUGACACUGAGGUGCGAAAGCGUGGGUAGCAAACAGGAUUAGAUACCCCUGUAGUC